GACGAACGCUGGCGGCGUGCUUAACACAUGCAAGUCGAACGGAAAGGCCCCUUUGGGGGUACUCGAGUGGCGAACGGGUGAGUAACACGUGAGUAACCUGCCCUUGACUUCGGGAUAACUUCAGGAAACUGGGGCUAAUACCGGAUAGGAAUCUUUGCUGCAUGGUGGGGGUUGGAAAGCUUCGGCGGUUUUGGAUGGACUCGCGGCUUAUCAGCUUGUUGGUGGGGUAGUGGCUUACCAAGGCUUUGACGGGUAGCCGGCCUGAGAGGGCGACCGGCCACAUUGGGACUGAGAUACGGCCCAGACUCCUACGGGAGGCAGCAGUGGGGAAUAUUGCACAAUGGGCGGAAGCCUGAUGCAGCACCGCCGCGUGCGGGAUGACGGCCUUCGGGUUGUAAACCGCUUUCAGCAGGGGCGAAGCUUGUGGUGACGGUACCUGCAGAAGAAGCACCGGCUAACUACGUG
rnacentral:rRNA from 1 species